rnacentral:rRNA from 1 species
CUACUCUUGACAUCCAGAGAACUUUCCAGAGAUGCUUUGGUGCCUUCGGGAACUCUGAGACAGGUGCUGCAUGGCUGUCGUCAGCUCGUGUUGUGAAAUGUUGGGUUAAGUCCCGCAACGAGCGCAACCCUUAUCCUUUGUUGCCAGCGGUCCGGCCGGGAACUCAAAGGAGACUGCCAGUGAUAAACUGGAGGAAGGUGGGGAUGACGUCAAGUCAUCAUGGCCCUUACGAGUAGGGCUACACACGUGCUACAAUGGCGCAUACAAAGAGAAGCGAACUCGCGAGAGCAAGCGGACCUCAUAAAGUGCGUCGUAGUCCGGAUUGGAGUCUGCAACUCGACUCCAUGAAGUCGGAAUCGCUAGUAAUCGUAGAUCAGAAUGCUACGGUGAAUACGUUCCCGGGUCUUGUACACGGCGGGGGAGGAGGGGGGAUC